GUGGUCCGAAAUGGUUGACAAUGCAUUGCCUUUGCAUUGCCGAUCACUUGAGCACACCCCUUU
rnacentral:pre_miRNA from 1 species